rnacentral:rRNA from 1 species
AUACGUAGGGCGCGAGCGUUGUCCGGAAUUAUUGGGCGUAAAGAGCUCGUAGGUGGCUUGUCGCGUCUGCCGUGAAAGCCUGCGGCUUAACCGUGGGUCUGCGGUGGAUACGGGCUGGCUUGAGGUAGGUAGGGGCAAGCGGAAUUCCUGGUGUAGCGGUGAAAUGCGCAGAUAUCAGGAGGAACACCGGUGGCGAAGGCGGCUUGCUGGGCCUUACCUGACGCUGAGGAGCGAAAGCGUGGGGAGCGAACAGGAUUAGAUACCCUGGUAGUCCACGCUGUAAACGUUGGGCGCUAGGUGUGGGGUUCUUCCACGGAUUCCGUGCCGUAGCUAACGCAUUAAGCGCCCCGCCUGGGGAGUACGGCCGCAAGGCUAAA